rnacentral:tRNA from 1 species
AAAUAUGAAGCGAUUUAUUGCAAUUAGUUUCGACCUAAUUUUAGGUAAUUUACCCUUAUUUU